AUGCUUCCCUUUCGUGUUGAGGACAUUGAAUCCAGCGCGGUGCACCCAGACAGAGGAGGGCGCACACUCUUCGUGUCCGUGGGUCACUGGGACCCGUUACGUGAUGACAUAUAUGACCAGACGAACCCAGAGGACUUCUCACGCACCUCUGAAACCUUCUCUUAUCUGGGGAGCGGCAAGUGGAGGCGCCACGGCGAGUGGGACCUGCCCUUUUUUGGCCAAGGCCACUAUGACGACGACCUCGACGCAUGGGUCGGUCUCCAUAAGAUACACCGUCGUGCUGAUUGGAACUACAAGUCCCACAUGGUACACGACACUGAUGGUUACCUCUGCUCGAGCGAUGUCACGUCUCCAGAGGGGAGCCCAGAGCGACCGGAUUGGAAGCUUUGCACAGAGAGGCUGUUCGACCCUAAUGAUGGCUGGCACGUCGGUGCUAGUCUUGUAUACAUGGGUGACAACACCUAUUGCCUUGUGGAGGUCGAGGCAUGCGAGCGGUUCAACAAGAGGAGUUGUGAGAGGGUCAACAAGGAGUGUGUGACUCGUUUGGUCAUUUUCCGUCUCAAGUAUGGUAAGAACGGUGAGCUCACAAUUACCUCACGCCGGCCCGAUCGCACAUACCUCUUCUCUAGAUUUGAUAACAAUCCUAAGGUUAGGGCGUUCUGGAUGUGA
rnacentral:rRNA from 1 species